rnacentral:rRNA from 1 species
GAUGAACGCUGGCGGCGUGCCUAAUACAUGCAAGUCGAGCGAACAGACGAGGAGCUUGCUCCUCUGACGUUAGCGGCGGACGGGUGAGUAACACGUGGAUAACCUACCUAUAAGACUGGGAUAACUUCGGGAAACCUGAGCUAAUACCGGAUAAUAUAUUGAACCGCAUGGUUCAAUAGUGAAAGACGGUUUUGCUGUCACUUAUAGAUGGAUCCGCGCCGCAUUAGCUAGUUGGUAAGGUAACGGCUUACCAAGGCAACGAUGCGUAGCCGACCUGAGAGGGUGAUCGGCCACACUGGGACUGAGACACGGUCCAGACUCCUACGGGAGGCAGCAGUAGGGAAUCUUCCGCAAUGGGCGAAAGCUUGACGGAGCAACGCCGCGUGAGUGAUGAAGGUCUUCGGAUCGUAAAACUCUGUUAUUAGGGAAGAACAAAUGUGUAAGUAACUAUGCACGUCUUGACGGUACCUAAUCAGAAAGCAACGGCUAACUACGUG